rnacentral:rRNA from 1 species
GAUCAUGACUUAGGAUGAACGCUAGCUACAGGCUUAACACAUGCAAGUCGAGGGGCAGCAUGACGGAAGCUUGCUUCCGUUGAUGGCGACCGGCGCACGGGUGAGUAACGCGUAUCCAACCUGCCCUUGUCCACCGGAUAACCCGUCGAAAGGCGGACUAACACGGUAUGCAGUCCACAGCAGGCAUCUAACGUGGACGAAAUGUGAAGGAGAAGGAUGGGGAUGCGUCUGAUUAG